ACCAAUCGGGUGUCCCGUACCAUCCGCGACCCUGGCUCCCCGAGACCGACCGCCAAUCAGCCGUCCCGUAACUUUUUUCAUUCAAUCCGUUCUUUGUGAAGUGAAUCCAUGGCCGGGGGGAGUGAGAAGGGAAGGGAAAAGAUGUUAUGGUUCUCCUAGAUCGGAUGUCAAUAUUUCACAGAGGAAUUUCACUUUUAUCCGUGUUGAAUUUCGUCGUAAAGCCGAGACUGACGUCUUGCCUCGAGGGCUCGGGCCGGGGCCGCCCUCGCGUUUCCUUCCGCUGACUCUUUUUACGCCUUUUUCACCUUCAGCCACUCUGGUCGAUUUUUUCCUCCUUUUUUUCCCCUACAGUUUAUUGUGUUGACUUUUUCCCUCGCUCCGCUCGCUCCACAACAGCCCUCGAAUAUUUUAAUUUACGUUUUUACAUUUUAUUCGACUCCUCUAUGAUAGAUCUCAAACUUCUCUCUACAAAAAUCACAUUGACAACUACUAUUUACCCUCCGAAGACAAAAGGACAAGUGGGGAAAAUUCGUAACACUUAGUUGUUCAUAUGCCAGAUUUUUCGGUUGAAUGAGCAUAACAGAAUGGUAAAACAAGGACAUCUUCACAGCAUAAACUUUUUAAAACGGCUGAAGUAUACAACUAUUAGAAGAUGAACACAAGUGUAGUGUUUAAGAAAGAUUUUAGUUUUAGUUAUGUGUGUGAAAAGUGAUUUCUUUUUUAAAUGGUUGUUACUAUGGAAUAUGGUUGACUUUGAACCAGUGUAUCUGUAAAUCUUGACUUUUAUCCAACUUGAACUUUUCACAAAAAGAAUAUAUUUUUUAUUUACAAUUUUGUAAUGUUGACACAUCUAAUUUCGCCUCGACCGGACAGACUCGAAGGCGUUUUAUUGUAAUGUUAGGCUACUUAACAAUGUUGGAAAAGAGAGAGAUAAAAGACUAUGAAGGGACGGAGAGUGGAAUUGUAAGAGUGGACAACCAUCAGACUAAUAUCAUCAUGACAAGUAAUAACAAUUCGAUAAAUGAUCCUAAAGAGGCUGCUCUUAUCAGUGCCAAAAAGUUACCAAAGAAGAGAAAAUUUGUUCCGUCCGAAGAAGAUUAUGAAAAGCCAUUAGCCGAAUCAUUCACUAGUGUAGUGGUUCCACCACAGGUUACUGCAGUGGAUUAUUCCUGCCUGAAUUCUCAAAAGACGAGGGAAAACGAGAGGCAGAGCACCUCCUUGUCAUAUGCAGAGAUCCAUAAAUCAGAAGAAAGAGUAGAUGUAGGCUGUGUAGAAAACAGCGAUUUGACACACAGACCUGUUCAUGUGAGAAAUGAUAUUGACUUGAAAGAGUGGAUAGACACUCACGUAUUAGCUAAAAGGGAGGACACUUAUUUGCCAGGAGUCAUCCGGCGGGCUGGACAAAAUGGUGAAGUGUGGGUGGAACUAGACAAUUAUGAGCACAAGGGGCAGCAUGUCAUAUUUACUGAUGUAUUGAAUUCUGGAAAAUACGACAUAAUUUUAGACGCCAGUCCGUCUGCGGGUCAAGUCAAUGUCAACGCAAGAGUAUGUGUUAAGGUUCCUUCUCUCUCAGAUGAACAUCACAUUCACCAACGUGUAUAUAUAGAAGGAGUUGUCUGCAAAGUCACUAGUGCCCCUAGAAGAUUCGUUGUACAACUGAUAGGGAAUCAACAAGGGAAAGAAGUUAUUGUGAGCCGAGCAGAUCUUCGGCUGCUACUCCCGCCAUGGUGGGAAGAGCUAGAAGAUAUAGAAGAAAAUAACCGUGAAAUUGCUCAUUCAACACUUAACAAUGGUUAUGUACUUCCCAACAACGGACACCUUCUGCAUCAUAUCGUUCCUGGUCUUCAAGGGAAUGAAUCGAUAACAUACUACAGAACCAGCCCCAGUUCACCACUGCACAAUAUGGCCACACCAAACAGCCUUAUUUCAACUGCGCCUUCGAACGCAAGUGGCGAAGAUUUACGACGCAGGCAGUUUGAUGAUUUUGUAGAAAGUGAUGAUGAUUUGAGGAGAGAAGACAUUCUUUUUCCAACAGAUGCAGGAAGCAGUAAAAGAAGCAGUGUCCAUAGUAGAGGUAGCACCUCAAGUUUAUUGGAGCAUGGAAGUAUCACUCCAAGAUCUACACCAGCAACACCAAGAUCUCAAGCGGCGACACCUCACAAAUAUAAAAAAGGUGACGUCGUCUCAACACCUAGUGGAAUUAGGAAAAAAUUCAACGGUAAGCAGUGGAGGAGACUUUGCUCAAAGGGGGAUUGCACUAAGGAAUCUCAAAGAAGGGGCUACUGCUCUAGGCAUCUUAGCCUUAAAGGAAACAACAAUACGUUACGCCCACAACCUGCUAAUUUUCCCAGAAAUAAAGGAAGUGUUUUGGAUGGUGAGGAAACAUCCAGAGAUUCUGAUACAUCUCCCAACUAUGGUGAAAGGAGAAGAUUCGACCCUGAUGAAACAGAAGCUGCUAAUAUGCUUGUUUCUUUGGGUACAUCUCGUUCUGCAACUCCUGCAUACUCACCAACAAACCAUAAUCCAUCACCAAGCAUUCCCGUGCAGUCACCUGUUACAGUCGGUUCAAGACAAAAUGUCUUCCUCCCAAUUCCUAGUAUGCAGCGUCAUCCUCAGCCUUCUCCCGUACAGCAUCACUUUAUGGUUGGAUCUUAUCAACAACAUGUUAUUAGGCCAGAAUUGGUGAGACCAACUACAUUAAUGGGCCAACAUCAAGAAGGCCGUUGCUCCCCUGUUAAUACAGGAAUGGCUACGAGUGUCAUUCGUAUUUCACCCAGUCCUCAACAACAGCAACAGCAGAUUGGAACUCACAUAGCCUGGAAAGUUGACAGCCCAUCACCACCCGCAACGCAUGCGCCUCAUGGCUACAACAUACUCCAGCAAGCUUUAACUCAUCCUGAAUCGCAUCCCAUGGAUGAGGAUCAACCACAACAAAGGCUGCAGGAACAACAAGACGUCCAACAACAAGUCAGCAAUCUUAGGAUAUUGAAAAUUGAUGAUAGACUUAUUCAAAGACCCCCUCAUCACCAAGAAUCUGUGAUCAGGAAAGACAAUUCAACCCACCAUUCAGUUCUCGUUGAAAAACCACUAACAGUUCUCCACCAAGUUGUUAAUAAGCCUAUGCAAUUUACAAAUGAAAAUAUUAAUUUGCACAAUACUUCAAAUACUGUGAACACAGUGAAUGAGCAGAACGUAUCUCAGCAAACUCAAAUGGGGAAAACGAACGUUUAUCAGCAACACGUGAUCGUAAAUCCAACUGAACUUCUUCCUGUACUACCUCUUCAGAACAAAUCCGACGACUCACCACAAAGAAACGGAGGUGUCGCUGUUAACACAUCAAGUGGUAUGGCAUUGUACCAAUGGGAUACUCUUGUUCCACUUCUCGGUACGUCACCUCCAUUAACCCCACCUAUUCUGUCACCACCACUUUCUGCUCCACCAGUCCCGAUAGACCCACCGCAUCAAGCAGAUGAAGAAGACGAUGAUGUAUUUGAGCCAGUUAGAGAGCAAGUACCUCUUAUCCAAGAAGGACUUAGCAACAGUUCAGCUGGUAAAAGAAGAACACAGUCAUUGAGCGCAUUGCAAAGUUCUAAAGAACCACAAAGUCCUCUUAAGGCAAAAGAUAGAAUAAGAAGACCCAUGAAUGCAUUCAUGAUUUUUUCAAAACGCCACCGCCCCCUUGUCCACCAAAGGCACCCCAAUCAGGACAAUAGGACAGUUUCAAAGAUACUCGGAGAAUGGUGGUACGCUUUGAGGCCAGAUGAAAAGCAGAAAUACCAUGACCUGGCUUCCGAAGUGAAAGAAGCUCAUUUUAAAGCCCACCCAGAAUGGAAGUGGUGUAGUAAAGACAGGAGAAAAUCUUCGACGAGCUCUGGAAGGGGCAAACUUGGUUCAGCCGAAGAUGGCGCGGAAUGCAUUCGCCCUACUUCACCACAAUUCCCAAGUACCUCUAAUACUAGUAUUGAGAAUAAAACUGUACCUGAAAAUAAUAAGACUGUAGAAGCAAGUGUGUCAGGUCAAGGAACCAACCACCCAGAAGAUGAGUUUUCUGAUGAGGACCAAAUGGUCAUUUGUGUUGAAGAAUCAGAAGUGGAUUUGAAGUGCAAAGAAAAGGUUGAAAACUCCGACUGUGAAAUGCCACAGCAUUGUUUCAGUUCGACGCCCAGGCCAUCUUCACCUGGUUCAGUUGAUGUCACGUGUCGUCCAAAGCCUAUUAAAGCUCGAAUUGGGUCAACGGGAUUGGAAAGUUCUGUGAAACACCCUACAACGCCAGGCGAAAACGUGCCUAUUGUUCCAUACCCAUACCAUUCACCAAUAAACCCAACAGGCGUUUCCGCUUUUCAACCAACAGGGGGUGGAGCUUUUAAGUCAAUGCCAAUUUCUCCAAAGGUUGCAAAAUCGGAGUUUGGGUCAAAUGGAGCUCUUAAUUCCGUAACUUGGUGCACAAGCGGGGUAAAGGAUAAUGAAUGGCAAAAAUCUGAACAAAGUGGAGUCCUCAAAUCAAACCAUCCUCUGUCUAGUCAGCCAACUGUCCUUCAUCAGCAUUCGUACAAACCCCCUUCUACACCAACUUCUCAGGGCGGAUCAAAACAAGCAAAUAUUGUUAAGACGACGACAAUAAACUGUAAGCAAGCCAUAACCUACACACAAGCCCAGCCAGUCACUUUAUACGUCCCAUCAACGAAUUCCCUCUUUACAAAUUUACUUUUGAAAAAUGAGCAGACAACGGAGCCAGUUAAAUAUCUUGUUCAGAAUGCAAGGUUUCAAAAUGUGUAUGUCUCAGCAGCAGCUGAUACCGGCAGAAGUGCAAAUCAGAUAAAAUUAGUCACAGCACAAUCAAAUCCAACAGUUAUAGUCAGUAAACCUAGUAGCAUCACAACUAUACAAGACAAAUCAGAAAGUCAGAAAACUGGUCCUGAAUUGUAUGAUGGAGAUAGGCGAAUGGAAAUAGAAAUGAAACCAAGUAAUCAAGAGGGUCAAACCAAUAGUAAUUUUAAUGAAAUGAAGCCUGAAAAUCUUGAAAAUAUGGAAGUUGAUGUGCAAGAAGAAAAAACGUUCAUCCUCGACCCAACUCCUGCUCAGUUAGGGAAGGCCCCACUACAAAGGAGGCAGUCAAUGGUUAUGAAUUCAAAUGAUAACCAGAUGAAUUCAGAGGCAGUGAAAGUCAACAACAGUGCUCCCGUUAAACGAGAAGAAGAAGUGCCAGUUUCGCCUUCUGGCAAGAAGAGCUUUUUCAAGAAAAAUGUUGAAGACGGGAUGGACAGAGUACUUGAGACCGUUAAUUUUGAGAAAAAAUUCUCAUCGCUUCCUGAGUAUAAGCCAGAUGAGUGCCAGUCGCCUAGUGCGAUAUCAGUUCCAUCAAGUCCACAUGUGUUCAACCAGUUUAGAAAGAAGCAGAUAAACCGAACUACAGAUGAGUGCCAGAAUAACGAAAUUGCUUCGACUCCAAAAACGGCCAAACUGGUUGGAAACACAUUUUUCGGGCCAGAUUUUAACAUAGAUGCUUUUAAAGGUCUUGAAUGCAAUGAGGCCAUGGAGGGUCUGUCACCGAGGACUCCAAAAACACCUGGUGGUAGGGAGAUUGAAAAAGGCCACCGUCGGAUGCUCGAACAAAGACGAAAUCUUGUGAUGCAGUUGUUUAACGAUCACGGCUUUUUCCCUUCUACACAGGCAACCAAUGCGUUCCAGUUUUGACAGAUUGUACAGAAAGAUGUCUUGUAUCUUUCCAUCUGGUUACAGUCUUGGAAUAAUCCGUAAUACGACUAGAGAAUUCAACUUUAAGAGGGACAACACCUUCAGGAGAACGUGGUCCUUGCACGAUUCUACUUGGAAACCAGAGCCAGAUGAAAGCCCAUAGGAAGAGCAGAGCCAC
rnacentral:misc_RNA from 1 species